rnacentral:rRNA from 1 species
GACAGAGGUCCCAAGCGUUAGGCGGAAUCACUGGGCUUAAAGCGUGUGUAGGCGGAUCUGUAAGUACCUUGUGAAAUCCCACGGCUCAACCGUGGAACUGCUGGGUAUACUGCGGAUCUUGAGCCACCUAGGGGCGAGCGGAACAAGUGGUGGAGCGGUGAAAUGCGUAGAUAUCACUUGGAACGCCAAUGGUGAAAACAGCUCGCUGGGGGUGUGCUGACGCUGAGACACGAAAGCCAGGGGAGCAAACGGG